rnacentral:rRNA from 1 species
AGCAGCCGCGGUAAUUCCAGCUCCAAUAGCGUAUAUUAAAGUUGUUGCAGUUAAAAAGCUCGUAGUUGAAUUUCGGGGUUAGUAGGUUGGUCGUGCCAAUGGUAUGCACUGGCUUUACUGAUUCCUCCUUCUUGAAGAACUGUAAUGCCAUUAAUUUGGUGUUGCAGGGAAUCAGGACUGUUACUUUGAAAAAAUUAGAGUGUUUAAAGCAGGCUUACGCUUGAAUACAUUAGCAUGGAAUAAUGAAAUAGGACGUUGAUCCUAUUUUGUUGGUUUCUAGGAUUGACGUAAUGAUUAAUAGGGAUAGUUGGGGGCAUUAGUAUUCAAUUGUCAGAGGUGAAAUUCUUGGAUUUAUUGAAGACUAACUACUGCGAAAGCAUUUGCCAAGGAUGUUUUCAUUAAUCAAGAACGAAAGUUAGGGGAUCGAAGACGAUCAGAUACCGUCGUAGU